rnacentral:rRNA from 1 species
CUUGGUCAUUUAGAGGAAGUAAAAGUCGUAACAAGGUUUCCGUAGGUGAACCUGCGGAAGGAUCAUUAUUGAAAUUAUAGGUGAGGGUUGUAGCUGGCCUCUCGGGGCAUGUGCACGCCCGAGCCCUUAAUCCACACACACCUGUGAACCUAUUGUAAGGGCCCUUAAAAAAGGCCUUUACGUCUUAUCAUCAACCCAUCGUAUGUCUCAUAGAAUGUAAAUAUAUGUCCUCGCCUUAAAAAGCGUUGAUAAACUUAUACAACUUUCAACAACGGAUCUCUUGGCUCUCGCAUCGAUGAAGAACGCAGCGAAAUGCGAUAAGUAAUGUGAAUUGCAGAUUUUCAGUGAAUCAUCGAAUCUUUGAACGCACCUUGCGCUCCUUGGUAUUCCGAGGAGCGUGCCUGUUUGAGUGUCAUUAAAUUCUCAACUCCGAUCGAUUUGUUUCGACUUCGGAGCUUGGAUUUGGAGCGUGCUGGCGUCGGUCGGCUCCUCUUAAAUGCAUCAGCGGAAUCUAACGUUUCGGAUGUCAGUGUGAUAAUCAUGUUGCGCUGUCUGUCUGAUCCGAAAGCCCGCUCACAAUGGUCUUCGGACAACUUCAUAUCAAAUUUGACCUCAAAUCAGGUAGGACUACCCGCUGAACUUAAGCAUAUCAAUAAGCGGAGGA